GGCUCGGUGGCGCAUGGAUGCGCAUCUGCUUCUGUUGUCCAGAAUAAAUCUAUGCGCCGAAGGUCCCCGUUCGAUUCGGGGCCGAGCCA